rnacentral:tmRNA from 1 species
GGGGCUGCACUGGUUUCGACGUGGGUUCGGAAUCGCAGCGGGGCAUGUCGAGCUGAAUGUGCUCGUUAAACAGAUUCAAACAAACUAACUGCAAACGACGAACGUUUCGCACUCGCUGCUUAAUUGCCAGUGAGCUUUGCAACAGCACGCCAACGGGCUGGGCAAGGGGGCUCGGAGCAAUCCGACGCCUCCCGGCUGCAAAGUUAAUCUACGUUGGCUGGCUUCGAUCCGGGUACCUUGGAUCGGGGCGAGAACCAAGGGUACUGGCGACCGGUGUAGCGUGCGACUGCGCGACACCGGUGGCGAGAUCCAAAACAGACCGCUAAACAUGUAGAUCUGCGCGAAGAAGGCUUACGGACGGGGGUUCAAAUCCCCCCAGCUCCACCA